UUGACAGUUCAAAAUUAAAUGUACAGAAUUUUUUUUGGGAGAAUAUAAACUAUUUAGUAAUCCAUUCAAAUAGACAGGUGUACGGACGGAUUCAUUUACCAUAUAGACUACAUUCUGAAAAAAGGUUUGUGCUUUGAAUUAUUCAAUGUUUAUGCAUUCUAAGAGAUAACUAUUUCUGUAGAGUAACAGACGGACAGACAGACAGACAGCUAGCAAAAUGAGAGAGUGAUGCUGAG